CGGGUAGAGUAACACGUGGGUUACCUGCCCCGAUGAUUGGGACAACCCGAGGAAACUCGGGCUAAUACCAAAUGUGCUCCUGGCCGUAAUGGCCUUGAGGAAAGGAAGCUUCGGCCUCCGCAUCGGGAUGGGCCCGCGGCCCAUUAGCUUGUUGGUGGGGUAAUGGCCUACCAAGGCGACGAUGGGUAGCUGGUCUGAGAGGACGAUCAGCCACACUGGGACUGAGACACGGCCCAG
rnacentral:rRNA from 1 species